rnacentral:rRNA from 1 species
CUACGGGUCGCUGCAGUGGGGAAUAUUGGACAAUGGGGGAAACCCUGAUCCAGCAAUGCCGCGUGUGAAGAAGGCCUGCGGGUUGUAAAGCACUUUCGGUUGGGAGGACUGCUUCUAGCACUAAUAUUGUUGGAAGUUGACGUUACCUUCAGAAGAAGCACCGGCUAACUCCGUGCCAGCAGCCGCGGUAAUACGGAGGGUGCAAGCGUUAAUCGGAAUUACUGGGCGUAAAGCGCGCGUAGGCGGCUAGAUCAGUCGGGUGUGAAAGCCCAGGGCUUAACCUGGGAACUGCAUCCGAUACUGUCUAGCUUGAGUACAGGAGAGGAGAGUGGAAUUCCACAUGUAGCGGUGAAAUGCGUAGAUAUGUGGAGGAACACCAAUGGCGAAGGCAGCUCUCUGGCCUGAUACUGACGCUGAGGCGCGAAAGCGUGGGGAGCAAACAGGAUUAGAUACCCGAGUAGUC